rnacentral:rRNA from 1 species
GAUGAACGCUAGCGGCAGGCUUAACACAUGCAAGUCGAGGGGCAGCGAGGCCGUAGCAAUACGGCUGUCGGCGACCGGCGCACGGGUGCGUAACGCGUAUGCAACCUACCCGUAACAGGGGGAUAACACUGAGAAAUUGGUACUAAUACCCCAUAAUAUCUCGGAAGGCAUCUUCUGGGGUUGAAAACUCUGGUGGUUACGGAUGGGCAUGCGUUGUAUUAGCUAGUUGGUAAGGUAACGGCUUACCAAGGAGACGAUACAUAGGGGGACUGAGAGGUUAACCCCCCACAUUGGUACUGAGACACGGACCAA